UGAGUGUGUGUGUGUGUCUGUUAGUGUGUGUGACUGUUAGUGUGUGCAGACACACACUAACAGACACACACACCCACUCACU